GGUGGGUUGACAGAGUCUGGCUUAUUGUACUUGUCUUGAAAACAAGCGUGCCUUUAUCGGCACCGAAGGUUCGAAUCCUUCACCCACCGCCA
rnacentral:tRNA from 1 species